CAUCAUCAAAACACGUUUCAAUUUUUUGUUUCACCGUUUUUCGGCCCAAUGAAAUCCUUCCAAAGCAUCGACUCCACCACUUCUCUACCAACUUAUACUCUAGGAUGUUUAACAAUCGACCCCCGUUUCUUCUUCCUCAAAUAUCAUCAUUGGUUUCAUCGACUUCUCCAGCCCUAGAACACUUUAUCGUUCCCUUCUCUUUACCGCUUCCUAUUCCACCGCUACGUUUACCAGUACUUUUUUAUCCACCGCUCUGCAUGUAUACAAAAUCGCCUUUGCUUGUCCGAAGCUCCGGAAUCGCUUGCCACCGUGGAACCGUCGAAGCUCCAGACCCCCUUCCGCCUGUCCACGCCCUUCCGUCGGUCUUCACAACCUUCGUUUUGCUAAAAAUUGUCGGUUGUUCUUCGACUUCGUGUAUACUCGACUAUGUAAAAUCGACCGGUGGUCGCAUCCUUUCUCUAAAAUCGAACCACGACGCCCAGGAGUCAUCGUCUCACUACAUGAACGAGUUUGAUUGUGCUCAAGGGAGACGACAAUGGCAUGGAGAAGAUCCGGGUCUUUGUUCAUCUUCUAGAAGAAAUGAAUCACAACAACCAGUUCCCCUUCUCACUAAUGGAAAACAAUUUCAGGUACUUGGUGAAAUCCCAAUUACCACACCCGACAAUCUAUCUGUAAGAAGUAAAUCGGGUCCAUUAGACCCUGGUGACAAGCAUGUCGGCUAUUUGGAUACAAGACAACCAGGAUUUUACUUCAUAUGGGCUUGGGAAUGUGGACCGGAAGGAAAGGGUAGAAGGGAGCACAUACAAGAUGGAGGAGAAUAUUACAUUGCACCUAUCCAUUCUAAAGGCACCCAUAAAUAUGUCAACAGGUGAUCCUCGACAGGUCAACUAGGCUAAAAUUCCUCAAGGUCAAUCUUGAAAAUCCUAGAAAUUGCCACAUUUACUAUUGCGUUUGAUAGUGAAGGACAGCCUUCGCAAUUGGCACCUAUAGAUGUUUUUGUCAGUAUAUUGGAUCCACUAAAAGAGCCUCCUCUCAUCACUGCAAACACAAUGUUGGCGAUUCUUUCUAUGGAGUAUCAUGUUGACAAAUUCUCCUGCUAUGUAUCUGAUGAUGGUUCUGCUAUGCUUAAAUUUGAGUCUCUUUCUGAGACAACAAGGUUUGCAAAAAAGUGGGUCCCAUUCUGCAAGAAACAUAGCAUCGAGCCUAGAGCCCCUGAGUUUUAUUUUGAUCAAAAGAUUGAUUACUUGAAGGACAAGAUUCAGCCUUAUUUGGUCAAAGAACGUAGAGCAAUGAAGGGGAGUUUUACAACUUUUAUGGUUUUAUGUUUUAUUCCAAGGUGUUUCCAAAUACCUAAAAUACCCUUUUAUGGCAGAGAGAAUACGAAAAAUUUAAAGUUGGAAUCAAUGUACUUGUAGCAGAAGCCCAAAAGAUGACAGAAGAAGGUUGGUCUAUGCAGGAUGGAACUCCUUGGCAUGGAAAUAACCCCCUUGAUCUUCUGACUAAAGAGGUUUGGAGCUUCAAAAUAGUCUUUUUUAAAGGAGCCUUGCACUCAACUAAAUUUUUUUUUGAUGGUGGCUGAUCAAAAGUAUUAUAUUUCAUCAUGUAGAACCAAGUACAUUUGUGCGAGACAUUUCUGAAAGAUUUCAUAUCUGCACAAAUGAUCAAGGGAUUAAAUUAAAUAUUAGUAGAGUGUUACGGUUUCAUUUCUAAUGAUAUGAACAUUCAACUUAAAGUAUAAACAACAUCAUGAUUUUGCUAGAUCCUCCUUGAACACUUUAGAGGCUCUUGAUUUAUGGCAGAAAGAUUGUAUACUUUGAUGUGGAGCUAGAAAAGCUGAUCAUUGAUCAUUAAUGGACUGAAGGUUAAAUGCCUUUUAUGUUUAAUUAAAAUUUUUUAAAAGUA